AUCUCUUCUGUUUGUUUUCUGGUAAACAUGAUGAUCAUUACUUCAAGCAACACAUUCUGAUAAGUAUGUUACAGGGCUACGUGUGAAAUUUAGAAGUGAAGAAAGUCUGUCAAGUUCUCAGUUUGAAACAUUUAUACAACGCCAUGAAGGAUUUAUAAGAAGUGGAAUUCAUGGUAACUUCACCAUGAGUUUGAGAAGUUAUCGUAAAAUUGGACCAUGAAAGAGACUACAGCAUUCCUGAACACACACACACACACACACACACACACACACACACACACACACACACACACACACACACACACACACACACACACACACACACACACACACACACACACACACACACACACACACACACACACACACACACACGCAAGCACGCACAAUACGAUAAAUGUAUCUAGUAUCAAGUUUUAAACAACUAUAAGAGAGUUUAGUUAAGUCACUGUAAAGCUAAUCUUGAAAAUUGUUUCUAAACACAUUAUAAAUGUUAGAAAUGUAUUGCUGACCUGGUGGUACCCAUACACCAGCAGUGUACAAUUGACACUGGUGAUUUUGCGGUGUCAUUAAAUUUUGGUUGGGUGGUUAAGAACACAUUUAAUAUCUGACUUUACAGGGACUUAAAGCAAGUAUUUUUAUUGCUGAAUAAUUCAUUUUUAGUUAAAUUAUAGUACUGUAAUUUUAAUAAUCAAAGUGAUCAAACAUUUUUAUGCAGAAAGACAAAAUAUAUGAAUUGAAUUACUGAUUUACUAUAUUCACCAAUCUAAAUCUAAUAAUCUGUGUGAUUGUAACUGUAUAUCUUUUUUGUGUAUAUGCAAAUCUUCUCUGUGUUCACUAACUGUA